rnacentral:tRNA from 1 species
AAGGGCAUAGCUCAGUGGUAGGUUAUGUGGUUAGCAUACACAAGGUCCUGGGUUCAAUCCCCAGUACCUCCA